rnacentral:rRNA from 1 species
CUAUCAAUGAAGCGGAGGAUGAAGGAUCAUUAC